GUAAAUGUUAUGGUUUUAAAUUCUAUUAUAAACAAUCAGUGAAAAUUGCAUGUAUCUACAGUAAUUCAUUUUAGAGUAACACCACUUAGACGAAAAACCAAAACCGAUUUUACGUAAAAAUUCACGUUUUUCUAAAUUUUUUUUUUUGUUUUUCCAGGCCCUUUCGGAGACUAGUUAGGUACUGUUCAUUUCGACAUCCCCUAUGCACCUCCUAGAUUCACUUUCCCCCCGGAAAAGAUGAAAAGCGAAGCAUUAUUUCGACUACUUAUCGUGUACACCGCCCCAAAUAAUAAAAAUGUAUUACGUAGAACGUAAAUUUGCUAAUAGUUUCAAUAUAGUUCGAUUCGCUCUAAUUUUUAAACUAACGAUGCUAAAUGUGAUCUGCUCAUCGUAAAUUUUCUAUAUUAGACGGAGACAAUAAAAUGCCCGUGUUACGUCUUAAACCGUUGAGCUGCGUCGUUUUGCGAAGUUUCAAAAAUGUAAUGCCCGCGAUUCUGUCUUAUCACCAUGUACCGCCAAAUAGUAAUAACUGUUAUCAAAUAAAUAACAACAUAAUAUUAUUAUUUUUUCGUUUGCCGACUUUAAAUUUGACUCGCUCGCGAAUCGCGAUUAUUUGAAAUUUGAACAAAAAAUACAGACUACAGCGAACAGUCGUACAGAUUUCUAUCCAUACAUUUUAAUAUAAAAUCACCAUGGAUAAGUGUAUUGUUUUUAGUCAAACAUCCAAAGCAUCGCCUCGCCACAUUACGUACAUUUUCAUUUAUUUCCAAGAAAUCAAUGAAAUAGAAGGAAAUAGGUAAUGGCUAAAAAUAUUCGAAUCAAACGAUUAUCCUAAUUUCUAUCAGUCCAUAGUAUCUGUGGUAAUCAUUUCACAACUACUAGUGAUUGUAAACAAUGUUCUCAAAACAUAAUCCAAACCACUUGUCUGAGAGAGAGAAGUGAAAUAAAUGUUAUUAAUUUACGGCAACAUUGGUACUACUCUGCGCGCACGACUAGUAAAUCGCAUCUAAGAGAAAAUCUUGUUUCUCCAACGAUGGGGCUAGAAGUAAAUGAACAGACAAAUAAAGAAUUUGGAGGCCAUGAUUUUAAUUCACACAUAAAAGCCUUGAUACCCAAUAAUGUCUAAUUCACACACACUUAUUUCAUACAGUGAAUUAUACUUAUUAUGGUUUUCAAAACUUAAAUGUAUGAUGUACUACAUACACGGAACUGGGACGUGGAGCCUGCAAAGUAUUGACAAAUUUUCAGACGUUGACUUUCUUGGAGAUAACUCUACCGUCUCAGAUGAAGCCAUACAAUAUUGGAGAGAAUUAUGAAACUUAAAGGAGAGAAUAUUGUUGAUAGGUUUUUAUUCCAAAUCUAUUUUACUGUGCUAUUAACUAACAUACCCACCUGUUCACGGGCACAUAGUAUUAUAUCUAAUUGUGUGCGUGGACAUAUAUUUGUCUAUGGAAAGGGCUAAACCCGU